UGGGGAAUAUUGGACAAUGGGCGAAAGCCUGAUCCAGCAAUGCCGCGUGAGUGAUGAAGGCCUUAGGGUUGUAAAGCUCUUUUACCCGGGAUGAUAAUGACAGUACCGGGAGAAUAAGCUCCGGCUAACUCCGUGCCAGCAGCCGCGGUAAUACGGAGGGAGCUAGCGUUAUUCGGAAUUACUGGGCGUAAAGCGCACGUAGGCGGCUUUGUAAGUUAGAGGUGAAAGCCUGGAGCUCAACUCCAGAAUUGCCUUUAAGACUGCAUCGCUUGAAUCCAGGAGAGGUGAGUGGAAUUCCGAGUGUAGAGGUGAAAUUCGUAGAUAUUCGGAAGAACACCAGUGGCGAAGGCGGCUCACUGGACUGGUAUUGACGCUGAGGUGCGAAAGCGUGGGGAGCAAACA
rnacentral:rRNA from 2 species